GUCUGCCUACUCCUAUGAAUUUACAUUCUGCUGAAAUCAGUGAAAGAUGUUGAAAAGGAUUUUCUCAAUAGAUGUUAAAAAGUGCUCUGGGUGAUCGGAUUAAAGAAAAGACUGACUAUAAAGAAGAAAAUACUGGAAAUGAAGAGGUAGAGGAUGGAACUGAGGAGACACUGUCUCAGCACAGUGAUGGCAUCGUGGAGUAUGGGCCAAAGAAGUCAAGGCCAGGACUUCCCGUGCGUAGAAAGCCACCCUACAGAUCCCAUUCGCUCUCUCCAUCUCCAGUUAACAAACACAAACAGUUCCACGUGGAGAGAAAAAGGCAGCGCAAGCCAAGAGAAACAGAUAUCCGCCAAUUCCGAGCACAGGCGUUUACCGAAGCAUUUGAAAGGGAACUAAGAAGACAUAAAGUUCAAGAGAAUAUUGGACCUCUAACAAUACAUGAGAAGGAGGAGGAAACAGUGGGUAAAAGUCUCCACUGUAAUAAAUGCCAUUUGAUCAGAUGAGUGGGAAGUACAAAGAUGAUCUUUUUAAAAGAAGAAGG
rnacentral:sRNA from 1 species